UACAUGGGGUGCAAACGUUGCUCGGAAUCAUUGGGCGUAAAGCGCACGUAGGCGGUUCGUUAUGUCGGAUGUGAAAGCCCUUGGCUUAACCGAGGAAGUGCAUCCGAAACUGGCGAGCUAGAGUACUAAAGAGGAUCGCGGAAUUCCCGGUGUAGAGGUGAAAUUCGUAGAUAUCGGGAGGAACACCGGUGGCGAAGGCGGCGAUCUGGGUAGAUACUGACGCUGAGGUGCGAAAGCGUGGGGAGCAAACAGG
rnacentral:rRNA from 1 species